rnacentral:tRNA from 1 species
AAAUAAAUAUUUAAGUUUAAGUAUAUGAUUUACAAUGAUAAAAUGUUUUUAACUUUAAUUA